GAAAUCCCCAACUUUCCCCCUAAAAUCCUUAAUUUCCCCCUUUGCAAUUUGCUUAUGUUCGGAUUUAAAUUAGCUUAUUACUCGUUUUUUUUUGUUCUCUUUAGGGUUUUAGUGGAUCUAUUAUAGAUGUUUUAGAUCUUUAUGUUAUGAUUUGAUUUAUGGAUGUUUUAGAUCUUUAUGUUAUGAUUUUAGUUCCUCAACAUCUCCGAGAACUCUUUCAACGUCGCAUUGCCGAGCAACAUUUGGGGUGCACCGAGCUUGCAGAUUUUCUCGACCAGUUCAGCCAAGCUAAUAGGCAAAAUCCCAGACUUCAUCGGCUGUAAAAACGUGUACAAAAUCGAGCUCCAAGGUAAUUCUCUAAACAGAAGCAUCCCUUGGGACAUUGAUCAUUGUGAAAAGCUCUUGUCUUUGAAUAUAAGCCGCAAUUUGUUUAUUGGAAUAAUUCCAUGGGAAAUAUCGACGCUUCCUUCAAUAAUUGCAGUUGAUCUUUCCGAUAAUAUGCUCACUGGAACUAUCCCUUCGAACUUUGAAAACUGUAGCACUUUAGAGAAUUUCAAUGUCUCCUAUAAGUUGCUAACCGGCCCGAUCCCAUCGUCCGGUCCAAUAUUUCCCAACUUACAGCCUUCCCCAUUUUUCGGCAACGACGGGCUCUGCGGCAGAAUUUUACCGAAACCUUUCCCCUUUUACUCUGAUUUGGCUUCCAGUUAUGGACUAGUAUUAGUAAUAGAACAAGUAUCAGAGAGAGAGAGAGAGAGAGAGAGAGAGAGAGAGAGAGGAAUGCCGCUAGGGAAGUAUUACUGCGACUAUUGCGAUAAGCAAUUUCAAGACACUUCUGCUGCUCGAAAACGCCACUUGCAGGGCCUCCAGCACCUCCGUGCCAAAGCUCAAUGGUUCCACUCCUAAAACGCCCAAGAUCUUUAUCAAACUUCGAUACCAUCCUUUUCGAAAGGCGUCUGUAAUCGCUUCCUUAAUACAGGAUUUUUCCAGUACGGAGAUAACUGUAAAUACUUCCAUCCCAACAAUGAUUCUCGGACCCCAAAUCCUCCACUUUCAACUGCACCACCAGGUGGUGUAGAGGGAAAUGGAAAUGGUAUGGCAAUAUCGUGGGGUAAUCUGCCUCCAUCCUUAAAGCCCCCACCUGAGGAUGGAUAUCCACCUCUUCCUUUUGUGGAUUGGGGAUAAACUCUCUCUCCCUCUCCCUUGCUCUGUUUCUAGACACCAAUUUCCUCAUUUAGUUUCUUCAUUUGUUAAAGUUGUAUCUUCUUGUUUAUAUUACUAUUACAUGUUAGAUCACCCACUUUCAUUUCCAUGUUCUUUCUCCUUUUACAUUUCUUGUCAUCAUGAGUAUGUCAAUACCUUGAUAAUGGGAAAUCAUUAUAUUACACAACGCAAUUGUCUAACAAAUCUAAAAGGUGAAGUGUUAUGGUUCAAUUGAUCCUUGGUUCGGUUUAGUUUGUGUAUUAUAGGAACGAAUGGUAAGAAUGCAAGUGAGAGUGUGAAUGUUGUAUGAUUAGGUGGCGGAAUUUGAGUAGACACUUCCAAAAUCUAUCCGAAAGCUUCAGAGCUUACUGACAUUUAGAGAUUAUUUGAUGUUUCAAAGCUUCAAGUGCCUGUCUGAUCAACCUCAUCUUCGUAGAGGAAAUUCAACCUGGUAAUUGGAAUUCACUUCAGUUCUUGCACUUCUUUGGUUGCUAAGGCAUUGAAAUAUUUUGUUUAAAGGGAUGCAAAACCUCUCGUCUCUUAAAUUUCUGGCUGAGUUGCUGUACAAGUCUGAAAUUAGAGGGAAUUGCAAUGUGAGGGAUCUUUGUCUGGGUUGCUCUUACCCAUUUGGAGGUCAUUGAAAUCUGGGAUUGCCCCAACUUUGAGGCACUGGUUUCAUAAGAUUUUAUUUUAUUUUAAUUAAUUUAUAAAAUGUUUAUAUAUUUAGUUUAGAAUCCAUUUUGACUAUAUGUAUGUAACAUGCUCCAGAAUUUUCUAAUUUCUUUUAAAUGAAUGUUUAUUUUAUUUUAUUUUAUUUUAAUUAUCUAAAGUUUUUGCUUCUUUCCAAUAUUUUAGUGUUUUAUGUUGACAAAUCACAGGUUUACACUCAACAUGCUUAUAUGAGACCUCUUGGAGUUGGAAAAUGGAAACCUUCUAGUCAAAAAGCAACAGAUAAGUUGGAGUGUGUUUCAAAUAAUUCAAAUGUCAAAUUCUUUAGGAUUGAUCUACAGAAUAGUUCUCAGGAAUUGAAAUUGCAUCAGAUACAACUGUCAAAUGUGCGAUUGGUCUUGGAAAUGGGAAUAUUGGGAUGACUGGCUUGAGCCUUCUAGCAGAUGAUAUAGUUUCUGAGCAACUGACUAGGUGAGACACCGUUUAAGGAAAGAUCAUGGGAUUGAGGGUGGAAUUCCUGUUGUUUUCUCUUUAGAGAAACCUAAAGCUAAGCUGCUUCCUUUUAGAGGACCAAGUGGUGAGGAAGACAACCCUUCAGAUUAUCAAGUGAGGAUGCUUGCUUCUUACUUUUGCAGUUUUAAAGUACUCUGUUUGAUCACCUAACAUCAUGCAGCGGGGAAAUUCAUCCAAUAUAUUGAAGCAGAAUUUAAGAAUUGAAAGUACAUUUGGAUGGAGCUAAAGCUGUGUUUCUUUUAGUGGUAUAUUUGAACUUGCUAGUGUUAGGUCCCUGGUUUUUGCUAUCUCUAGAUUUAAGGGUAUAAGGAAAAGGAAAAUAUUUUGGUCUACAUUAGUAUGUAAUCUACAUGUUUAAUACAACAAUUUAAUGUGUUAUUCUGUUGUCAGAUAGUACCUAGGCAGGUUCAACAAUUUAAUGCAUUGUAUUUUUUAUUACCUUGCAAUGUGUAUAGUCAUAGGCAGGUUCAACUA